GUUUGAUCAUGGCUCAGAUUGAACGCUGGCGGCAGGCUUAACACAUGCAAGUCGAACGAUGAUUAUCUAGCUUGCUAGAUAUGAUUAGUGGCGGACGGGUGAGUAACAUUUAGGAAUCUGCCUAGUAGUGGGGGAUAGCUCGGGGAAACUCGAAUUAAUACCGCAUACGACCUACGGGUGAAAGGGGGCGCAAGCUCUUGCUAUUAGAUGAGCCUAAAUCAGAUUAGCUAGUUGGUGGGGUAAAGGCCCACCAAGGCGACGAUCUGUAACUGGUCUGAGAGGAUGAUCAGUCACACCGGAACUGAGACACGGUCCGGACUCCUACGGGAGGCAGCAGUGGGGAAUAUUGGACAAUGGGGGCAACCCUGAUCCAGCCAUGCCGCGUGUGUGAAGAAGGCCUUUUGGUUGUAAAGCACUUUAAGCAGGGAGGAGAGGCUAAUGGUUAAUACCCAUUAGAUUAGACGUUACCUGCAGAAUAAGCACCGGCUAACUCUGUGCCAGCAGCCGCGGUAAUACAGAGGGUGCGAGCGUUAAUCGGAAUUACUGGGCGUAAAGCGAGUGUAGGUGGCUCAUUAAGUCACAUGUGAAAUCCCCGGGCUUAACCUGGGAACUGCAUGUGAUACUGGUGGUGCUAGAAUAUGUGAGAGGGAAGUAGAAUUCCAGGUGUAGCGGUGAAAUGCGUAGAGAUCUGGAGGAAUACCGAUGGCGAAGGCAGCUUCCUGGCAUAAUAUUGACACUGAGAUUCGAAAGCGUGGGUAGCAAACAGGAUUAGAUACCCUGGUAGUCCACGCCGUAAACGAUGUCUACUAGCCGUUGGGGUCCUUGAGACUUUAGUGGCGCAGUUAACGCGAUAAGUAGACCGCCUGGGGAGUACGGCCGCAAGGUUAAAACUCAAAUGAAUUGACGGGGGCCCGCACAAGCGGUGGAGCAUGUGGUUUAAUUCGAUGCAACGCGAAGAACCUUACCUGGUCUUGACAUAGUGAGAAUCCUGCAGAGAUGCGGGAGUGCCUUCGGGAAUUCACAUACAGGUGCUGCAUGGCUGUCGUCAGCUCGUGUCGUGAGAUGUUGGGUUAAGUCCCGCAACGAGCGCAACCCUUUUCCUUAUUUGCCAGCGGGUUAAGCCGGGAACUUUAAGGAUACUGCCAGUGACAAACUGGAGGAAGGCGGGGACGACGUCAAGUCAUCAUGGCCCUUACGACCAGGGCUACACACGUGCUACAAUGGUAGGUACAGAGGGUUGCUACACAGCGAUGUGAUGCUAAUCUCAAAAAGCCUAUCGUAGUCCGGAUUGGAGUCUGCAACUCGACUCCAUGAAGUCGGAAUCGCUAGUAAUCGCAGAUCAGAAUGCUGCGGUGAAUACGUUCCCGGGCCUUGUACACACCGCCCGUCACACCAUGGGAGUUGGUUCUACCUGACGGCCGUGCGCCAACCCUUCGGGGAGGCAGCGGACCACGGUAGGAUCAGCGACUGGGGUGAAGUCGGAACAAGGUAGCCGUAGGGGAACCUGCGGCU
rnacentral:rRNA from 1 species